UUCUAAUUUUUUUUAUAUGCGUAUACAUUUUACGUUUCACAAAUAAAGGUAAUAAGGCGCUGUAUGUUUUGUUAUUAAUGAGAUGGCGUUUGCUGAUAGUACCUAAAACAAGCUAAAAAAAACAAUCCCCUAUUAGCCUUUAGGCUAGCUACUUUCGUUUUUUUCCGAACAGCCGGUUCAGUUGUGGGAAACAUUAAAAUGUCAACUUUAUUUCUGUCCUCUUGGAGGAAACUCCAACUGACUCAAUAUUACAGAAGAACGCUGCUUCAAAAAGCCGCCUUUUGUUCUAACCAACCCUACCAGCACCCCACGUGUGGACAGCAGUCUUUGAGGAGGAGGAGGGUUGUUAUUACAGGAAUAGGACUGGUGUGUCCCCUGGGCACAGGCACCGUUCUGGCGUGGGACCGCCUCAUCAGGGGCCAGAGUGGGAUUGUCGCCCUGGACCCUGAGGAGUACAAGACUGUACCCUGUAAAGUGGCAGCUGUUGUACCCAGAGGGACUGGUGAGGGUCAGUUUAACGAGGAAACAUUUGCAACACGUGGGGAAAUGAACAGCAUGUCCUCAGCCACCGUGAUGGCCCUUGGAGCUGCUCAACUGGCUCUUGAGGACUCAGGGUGGUGCCCCAAAUCCCCAGAGGAGCAUCUUAAGACGGGGGUGGCUGUUGGCAUGGGGAUGGUGUCACUGGAUGAAAUUGCUCGCACCUCUGCUGCUUUCAGAGAAAAGGGCUACAACAGAAUUAGUCCCUACUUUGUGCCCCGCAUCCUUGUAAACAUGGCCGCGGGGCACAUCAGCAUCAAACACAGACUGAUGGGUCCAAACCACGCUGUGUCCACGGCCUGCACCACCGGCGCUCACGCCAUAGGUGAUGCGGCCAGGUUCAUCAUACACGGGGAUGCUGUUGCUAUGGUUACAGGUGGAACAGAAUCCUGCGUUGGGCCAUUGUCAAUAGCCGGCUUUGCCAGGGCCCGCGCACUCGCCACCAAAUGGAACGACAACCCUCCGCUUGCCUCCAGACCUUUCCAUCCAGACAGAGACGGGUUUGUGAUGGGAGAGGGAGCCGCUGUGAUCCUGGUAGAGGAGCUGGGUCAUGCAUUGACAAGGGGGGCCAGGAUCUACGCGGAGGUCCUGGGAUAUGGGCUUUCAGGGGAUGCUAGUCACAUUACUGCACCCACUGUAGACGGGGAUGGAGCAUUCAGGAGUAUGUCUGCAGCCCUCAGAGAUGCUGCGGUCUCACCGACAGAUGUCACAUAUGUCAAUGCUCAUGCCACGUCCACGCCUUUGGGUGAUGCCGCAGAAAAUGCAGCCAUUAAGAGGCUCUUCCAGCACAGCACUGACAAGCUGGCUGUUUCUUCUACCAAGGGAGCCACAGGACAUCUGCUUGGGGCAUCCGGGGCUCUAGAGGCAGCAUUUACUGCUUUGGCUUGCUACCAUGGGGUGCUGCCCCCAACCCUCAACCUUGACCGUACUGAGCCAGAGUUCAACCUAAAUUAUGUUCCCUGCACAGCACAACCAUGGAGAGCUCAGGGCCGACGGGUCGCUCUCACAAACUCAUUUGGAUUUGGUGGGACCAAUGCGUCAUUAUGUCUCAGCAGUUUCUCAUGCUAGACUGACCUAAUUCUUGACUUUUGCCUCAAAUGUAAUAUAGUUCCACAUCUGUUGUGUUCUAAGGUAGCCCAGUAUUCAUCACCAUCCCCAUCAGAGUGAUUCAUCACCAAGAACGAGGUGGGCAGAGCGAUCAGGAGACAGACUGCAAAAGAAGAACAGAGGUGAGCGGAGGAACAGAUUGGAAUAUUCAAACAAAGACCUAUGCUCACUUUCCGGAAGGCGAUCGAUCCUCCAGGGGGAGAAACCGGUUCAAGUCUGUGGUAGUGCCUGCACGGAACGAUUGGAGCGAUCUGAUGUUCCAGGUAACAAGUGGUGGACAGGUUGCGCCUCCAGCUGGAGGACUCGCAAGGGCAGCAGCAGGUUCCAGUCUUGACAGGAGGUGGGUUCAGGAGGAAAACCCCAGCUUGGCGUGAACAGCCUAUGACGAAGGAAACAAGACGGAUAAUUAAUCAAGGCUCAAAAAAACAAGUGGAGCUUCCAGAAUUCAGCAGAUAAUGGCCAGAGAAAACCGGAGGUCUUCAAAAGUGACCUAUAGGAGGAACAGCUCCACUUCCCAAAAGUUAUUUAACAGACCAAAGUAAUGGGAGAUCAUCUGCAUCAUGUUGAAUUUGUGGAGAAGCUGAAAUAUGCUUUGACUUGUUAGGAAAAUAAGUUGUCCUGUGCAUUUACAGUCCCAUUCUGGUUAUGAAGGUGAGACGGUUCUCUGCAGACACACAGCAAAUCUUCCCUUGGGCAACAGCUGCUUCACUGCAAAAUGAGUUAACUGACCUCAAGGAAAACAUUGCCCUCAAAGAGACUGUGGGUGCAGCUCAUGGCUGUUGGGACCACAGCCAUGGGUCCAAAAGGAAAGGCCAGUAAGAUCUUUUCUGGAACUUUCAAAAUAAAUUGCAUUAACCUACUUCCAGCACAGCCAGGGACAGGGAAUAACAGCAGACUUCCCGUGACAUCACUGUCCGAAUAAAACCCCCA